UUUAACUCAAAAAUCAAACAAUCCACUCAUUAAUUUUUUGAUCUUUAAUUAUUAAUUGGUAAUAUUACAACCAGGAUACAGAAAUACUACUAGCACUUUUACAACAACCCAUUUAUCGCAUUUGCUAUAAGAAUUAUAAUCUUUAAAAUACAAUAUUUUUUUUUUUAAAAUUUUGGCUUGGUAAGAAAAAAAUAUUAACAGAAAAUCUGACACACUAUGAGCUUGGUUUUCCUCUUCCACCGUAAGCUUGCUUGCACAUAUAACUAGGCUUUUGUGAAGGCGUGCACAGCUGAGACGAACCUGGACAUCCUUGCAAACAAUUAUCCCCCAAGCUACCGGUGACAGGCGCCUCUCCGGAGAAAAACCCAGACGGCGGCUUCCCAAUCAAGAAAUUACCGUCCAAGAACAGCCUUCUCAAACUCUUCUUCUGACCGUACUCGAAUGGGAUUGUGCCACGUAGCCGAUUGUAUCUCAAUGACAAAGACGACAACAGUGGAUAAGCAGAGAAAUACACAAGGGCGUUUCCCUCGAUUCUGUUGAACCCGAGAUCAAUCGCCACCAGGUCGCUGUUACCAUUUACAGGCUUUAAGAUCUCGAUGCUUGUCAGGCUAUUAUUGGCUAAAUCCACCUGUUGAAGCGCAGGCAAGGCAAGGAACCACGAUUCUACUGCUCCGGUUAACGAGUUCUCGCUGAGUUCCACCACCUCCAACUGAGUUAACCCGUCAAAGGACCAUUUUGAUAAUGACCCAGAUAAAGAAUUGCUCUUUAAGGCUAGUUCUAGCAAGUUUGGAGGUAGCUUCGGUAAAGACCCAGUCAGCUUAUUGUAGCUAAGAUCGAAUCUCCUUAAACUAGACAUUGAAUUCAAGGCUUUAGGGAGAUACCCAGACAGAGAAUUAUGUGAAAUGUCCAAAGCUUCGAGGGAUUUAAGGUUGGUGAUUGAGGCAGGGAGUGAGCCAGAGAACCAAUUGGAACGGAGAAUCAAGGUCUGGAGGUUGAAAAGAGAGGAAAUGGAAGAUGGGAUAGGGCCAAAGAAAUUAUUAUCAGAGAGGUCAAGAAUAGUGAGAUUACUGAGUUGAGAAACAAGUGGGGUUAAUUGCCCUGAGUAGCCAACAGGAUCAAGAGUGAGUUGGGUGACUCGAGUUGAGUCAGAGGAGCAAGUGACGCCGCAGGUGAAGUGAGUCCGCCGAGGUAAGGCACAUGGGUCGGUGGUGAAGUCCCAGGAGGCAAGGCAGGACCAUGAUGGGAUAGAACUUGGCUUGAUGGAAGCUUUAAAGGCCUUGAGAGCAGAGAUAUCUUGUGGUGAAGUGAGAGCAAAAACAAGAAAAUUUCUGGAGAUGAAGACAAACAGGUGAAGAAGAAAGAAGAGAAAUUUGGACAUUUUGAGAGGAAUGUGAAAUGGGUUUUGAUGGAGAAUGAAGAGAGGCAAAGCAAUAAUGGAAGUGGGGAUUGAGAAUGGACUUUUUGGAGUUCGAAGAGUUUAUUAAGCAUGGCAGCUGGCUGGAGAGCACUAAAGGUAGUGUUGGUUCGUAAACGUAGUCAAUGUUCCAAGAUAUUUAAAGAGUGGAGGGGUCGAAUUUGCCGUCCUUUGCACAUCUAUCUGCCAAGUUCGAGGUUUGGUUGAUUGCCCUUUUUUAACCCCUAAGAAU
rnacentral:misc_RNA from 1 species